rnacentral:rRNA from 1 species
AAGGAUGUGGAGUUGCGUAGACAACCAGGAGGUUGGCUUGGAAGCAGCCAUCCUUGAAAGAGUGCGUAAUAGCUCACUGGUCAAGUGAUUCCGCGCCGACAAUGUAGCGGGGCUCAAGUUAUCCGCCGAAGCUGUGGCAACUUUUUUUGAGUUGGGUAGGGGAGCGUCGUGUUCGUGGUGAAGCAGCCUGGUGAUGGGUUGUGGAGUGGAUGCGAGUGAGAAUGCAGGCAUGAGUAGCGAAUGACGGGUGGGAAACCCGUCCGCCGAAUAUCCAAGGGUUCCAGGGUCAAGUUAAUCUGCCCUGGGUGAGUCGGGACCUAAGGCGAGGCCGACAGGCGUAGUCGAUGGACGACCAGUUGAUAUUCUGGUACCGGUGUAGCACCGUCCGUGUCGAGGUGUGUGAUGCUAAGCGUGCGAGUGUCCUGGUGAUCCCUUCGGGGUGAUCUUGUGGCGUGAGUGUGUGAACCGAUCAUGUAGUAGACAAGCUGCGGAGGGACACAGUGAGGUAGCUCGUCCCCGGCGAUGGUUGUCCGGGGCUAAAUGUGUGGACUGUCUGGUAGGUAAAUCCGUCAGACGUUGAGUUGAGGCAUGAUGGCGAGCCAUGUUUGUGUGGUGAGCGAGUGAUCCUGUGCUGUCGAGAAAAGCUUCGUGAGCGAGGUGUGAGCCGCCCGUACCCUAAACCGACACUGGUGGAUUGGUAGAGUAUACCGAGGCGAUCGAGAGAAUCAUGGUGAAGGAACUCGGCAAAAUGCCCCCGUAACUUUGGAAGAAGGGGGACCUGAGCUGUUGCCGCCACGUGCUGGUGGUUGCGGUGAGGGGCGCAGAGAAUUGGGGGAAGCGACUGUUUACCAAAAACACAGGUCCGUGCGAAGUCGUAAGACGAUGUAUACGGACUGACUCCUGCCCGGUGCUGGAAGGUUAAGGGGAACUGUUAGCUUUGGCGACGCGGUGAACUUAAGCCCCAGUAAACGGCGGUGGUAACUAUAACCAUCCUAAGGUAGCGAAAUUCCUUGUCGGGUAAGUUCCGACCUGCACGAAUGGAGUAACGACUUCCCUACUGUCUCCACCAUGAACUCGGUGAAAUUGCAUUACGAGUAAAGAUGCUCGUUACGCGCAGCAGGACGGAAAGACCCCGGGACCUUCACUAUAGUUUGGUAUUGGUGAUCGGUUCGACUUGUGUAGGAUAGGUGGGAGACUGUGAAGCUGUCACGCUAGUGGUGGUGGAGUCGUUGGUGAAAUACCACUCUGGUCGUUCUGGUUAUCUAACGUUGGGCCAUGAUCUGGUUCACGGACAGUGCCUGAUGGGUAGUUUGACUGGGGCGGUCGCCUCCUAAAAGGUAACGGAGGCGCCCAAAGGUUCCCUCAUCCUGGUUGGUAAUCAGGUGUCGAGUGUAAGUGCACAAGGGAGCUUGACUGUGAGACAGACAUGUCGAGCAGGGACGAAAGUCGGGACUAGUGAUCUGACGGUGGCUUGUGGAAGUGCCGUCACUCAACGGAUAAAAGGUACCCCGGGGAUAACAGGCUGAUCUUGCCCGAGCGCUCACAGCGACGGCAUGGUUUGGCACCUCGAUGUCGGCUCGUCGCAUCCUGGGGCUGGAGUCGGUCCCAAGGGUUGGGCUGUUCGCCCAUUAAAGCGGCACGCGAGCUGGGUUCAGAACGUCGUGAGACAGUUCGGUCCCUAUCCGCUGCGCGCGUAGGAAUCUUGAGAAGAGCUGUCCUUAGUACGAGAGGACCGGGACGGACUGACCUCUGGUGUGCCAGUUGUACUGCCAAGUGCAUGGCUGGUUGGCUACGUCGGGUUGUGAUAACCGCUGAAAGCAUCUAAGCGGGAAGCACGCUUCGAGAUGAGGGUUCCCGCAGAUGAAUCUGGUAAGACUUCCGGUAGACGACCGGGUUGAUAGGCUGGAUGUGGAAGCACUGCAAGGUGUGGAGCUGACCAGUACUAAUAAGUCGAGGGCUUGUUACA